rnacentral:rRNA from 1 species
AUUGAACGCUGGCGGCACGCCUAACACAUGCAAGUCGAGCGGCAGCGAGACUAGUAGCAAUACUAGUUGUCGGCGAGCGGCGGACGGGUGAGUAACACGUAGGAAUCUGCCCUUAAGCGGGGGAUAACCAAGGGAAACUUUGGCUAAUACCGCAUAAUCUCGAGAGAGCAAAGCUGCCCGCAAGGGUGGCACUUGAGGAGGAGCCUGCGUCCGAUUAGCUAGUUGGUGGGGUAAUGGCCUACCAAGGCGAUGAUCGGUAACUGGUCUGAGAGGACGACCAGUCACACUGGGAGUGAGACACGGCCCAGACACCUACGGGAGGCAGCAGUGGGGAAUAUUGGACAAUGGGGGCAACCCUGAUCCAGCGAUGCCGCGUGAGUGAAGAAGGCCUUCGGGUCGUAAAGCUCUUUAGGUUGGGAAGAAGGGUAUUGGCUGAAUAAUCCAGUACUUUGACGGUACCGACAGAAUAAGCACCGGCAAACUCUGUGCCAGCCGCCGCAGUAACAC